rnacentral:lncRNA from 1 species
UUGUUCUGUGGGUGGUGAAGUUACUUCAGGUUCAGGUGGAGGUUGUUGUGGUUGUUGGGAAUUACGGUUUAGAGAUUGAAGUUGGGCUAAAGUGGGUGAAGCGGGGUCAGAAGGUUCUGUGUCGGAGGAAAGGAUAAAAUAGGGAGGUGAUUCUGGGGCUGAAGAUGAGGAAGUGGUUUGGUUUAAUUCUUCAGCUUCAGAUAGUGGUAAGGAGGUAUUUGCAAUAUUGAAUUUUGGUAG